UUUUUCUUAUACAGAAUAUUCAUUAUAUAUUUCAAUGAACAUCCUACGUUGACCUGGUGUCAUUGCGGGAAAAUGUGUCAUAGGAAACAUAGUGUCAUGAAGAUAUUUGCUUUAUUAAGUAAAUUUUAUUCUAGGAACUCAUUGGAAGAUCUUGUAUCAAGCCAAAUGUUUUAUUUGUUUGCUUUUCUUUUCUUUGUUUUGUUCUUCUUCCUUUUCUUAAGAAUUGCUAGCUAUAGAAAUCAGAAAGACCUAUAAAUGAAAGUGAUUUAAAGGUUCCUUGCCAAAACCUGGUGCUCUGCAGGGCGUAGCUUUAUACGACUGCAGAAGUCGAUCCCUGAACAGUUAGGGCAAGUAUGGGCACAACAUCCAAGCUUGAUACAGC
rnacentral:lncRNA from 1 species